AUUGAACGCUGGCGGCCGGCUUAACACAUGCAAGUCGAACGAGUGGCGGACGGGUGAGUAAUGUCUGGGAAACUGCCUGAUGGAGGGGGAUAACUACUGGAAACGGUAGCUAAUACCGCAUACCAUCCGAUGUGCGCAGAUGGGCAUAGCUAGUUGGUGGGGUAACGGCUCACCAAGGCGACGAUCCCUCGCUGGUCUGAGAGGAUGAGCCGCCACACGUGAACUGAUACACGGUCCAGACUCCUACGGGAGGCAGCAGUGGGGAAUAGUGCACAAUGGGCGCAAGCCUGAUGCAGCCAUGCCGCGUGUAUGAAGAAGGCCUUCGGGUUGUAAAGUACUUUCAGCGGGGAGGCGUUACCCGCAGAAGAAGCACCGGCUAACUCCGUGCCAGCAGCCGCGGUAAUAC
rnacentral:rRNA from 1 species